ACCCCGCUUGUUAAUGUGAAAAAUACCGAAAAUGUGUUUGAACCGGGAAAAUCUCUUCAACCGGACGACGUGGCUUCCGCUGUGACUUAUGUACUUGAGGCUCCACCAAACGUCAAUGUCCGUCAUAUAUGCCUUCACGGCGUUCAUGACGCAUCGUAAGUUGGAAAAUCACCCUGGG